UGGGGAAUAUUGCACAAUGGGCGCAAGCCUGAUGCAGCCAUGCCGCGUGUGUGAAGAAGGCCUUCGGGUUGUAAAGCACUUUCAGCGGGGAGGAAGGCGUUAAGGUUAAUAACCUUGGCGAUUGACGUUACCCGCAGAAGAAGCACCGGCUAACUCCGUGCCAGCAGCCGCGGUAAUACGGAGGGUGCAAGCGUUAAUCGGAAUUACUGGGCGUAAAGCGCACGCAGGCGGUCUGUCAAGUCGGAUGUGAAAUCCCCGGGCUCAACCUGGGAACUGGAUUCGAAACUGGCAGGCUAGAGUCUUGUAGAGGGGGGUAGAAUUCCAGGUGUAGCGGUGAAAUGCGUAGAGAUCUGGAGGAAUACCGGUGGCGAAGGCGGCCCCCUGGACAAAGACUGACGCUCAGGUGCGAAAGCGUGGGGAGCAAACAGG
rnacentral:rRNA from 1 species